AUAUGUAACUGUAUAUUCUCAGCCUUCUGGCUGCCAAGCUCUUUCAAUAAACCGUUAAUUAUUAUUAUUAUUAUUAACCUGGGCAUGCUACCCUAACGCGCCCCGGGGGUUUAGUUAGCUGCGUUGUCAACAGAUGGUGUUGAUCAGAGCUCAGUGGCUCUCAUUUUUAUCAGUAAAGCUAGACGCUUUCCCGUCCUUCUUAUUAUAGUCUUUGAUCGAGUGUCAUGCGCACAAAUCAAAAGCAGCGUCUGCGUAUAAGGAAUAGCUAACGCGUUAGCUAUUCAGUGCAUCGAAAACGCCUUACAAUAACCGCCUUAAAGUAUGUAUGGUAAUGAUUGGUAGUUUCGUAGUUCUUUGUAAAUUAUCAUAUAAAUAUUUUUAAUACAUGAGCUUAGUUCAUGGGGAUAUAUUUAUACAUAAGAAUAAUGGAAAUUAGUUUGUUUACAACUUAACUACCAUGAACAGUCAUCACGAUAGUUUGGUCUGCUUGAGGUGCCGAAUCACGUAUUAUUUUUUGAUGUAAAACAUCGUAUUUAGCGUCUAAUUAAUUGAAUAAAUGCAUAUAUAAUAGUCUAAUAUUAAUAAAUCUUUAUAUAAUAUACUGGUAAUAAAAUCUAAUUUGAUUUUAGUGAGAUUUAAGGAAUUAAUACUGAUUUAUUAUCAAACGCUGGCAACCCGUGAGUGAGGAGACGAGUCGACGGGUUAAUGUUGAACCACCUGUUGUGAGAGGAGGACGUGGCCGGUGCUGUGUCCUGUGACCUAAACGUGGAUUAUCUUGUCGACAGUUUGAACAGCCGCCCAGAGGUGCUCCUAUCUUUAGCUAAAUCAGUGAGGAACUAUUUAUCCAGGUUUGGAAAAUGUGUAGUGGUGUGGUGGCUCACUGGCAAGGUGACCUUUGUGGAUGACGGAGGCCUCGGCUUCGACUGAAGACGUGUUGAACUGGACGAGUCAGAGGCAGUAUUUUAAAUGGU